GAUGAACGCUGGCGGCGUGCCUAAUACAUGCAAGUCGAGCGAAUGGAUUAAGAGCUUGCUCUUAUGAAGUUAGCGGCGGACGGGUGAGUAACACGAGGGUAACCUGCCCAUAAGACUGGGAUAACUCCGGGAAACCGGGGCUAAUACCGGAUAACAUUUUGAACCGCAUGGUUCGAAAUUGAAAGGCGGCUUCGGCUGUCACUUAUGGAUGGACCCGCGUCGCAUUAGCUAGUUGGUGAGGUAACGGCUCACCAAGGCAACGAUGCUUAGCCGACCUGAGAGGGUGGUCGGCCACACUGGGACUGAGACACGGCCCAGACUCCUACGGGAGGCAGCAGUAGGGAAUCUUCCGCAAUGGACGAAAGUCUGACGGAGCAACGCCGCGUGAGUGAUGAAGGCUUUCGGGUCGUAAAACUCUGUUGUUAGGGAAGAACAAGUGCUAGUUGAAUAAGCUGGCACCUUGACGGUACCUAACCAGAAAGCCAUGGCUAACUACGUGCCAGCAGCCGCCGUAA
rnacentral:rRNA from 1 species